GAGGGUGGUUACACAGCCUGGCCCCGCCUCCUGCAGCCCCCUCGUGGGGGGGGGGGCGCUCUGGGCAGCCCCUCCCCCAGCCUGGGUGGACAGGCUAGGACGGAAGGCACCCGAAGCAGAGCUCCACCCCUGUGCCCUCAUCCACGUCAGGCCAAGUCCUCCCUGUGCCCGAGACCCUAAAUCCUGGAGCCCUGUCUGCACUAGGCACCCAAGGCCCUUCCCCGCCUGCCACCGGGCCCGCUCUACCCCGGUGGCUGGGAGAGGCCACCCUUCCAGAGGCAGGUCCUCAGGGAGCCUGUGGUAAGCAGGUGCCGUUGUGGGACUGUGGCGGUCACAGCCGCAGCCCCCCAGCCCCCACUGCACCCCUCAGUGCCAGCUGGCUCUCUAGCCCAUGAGUGUGCCCAGAAACCGGAAUGUGGGUAAAAUCUCCGUUUUAAAGCUAGCAGCAAAUGAAAAGGUUGCUGAACGGGCACAGAGCUCCACACUGGGAACGCGAGACAGUUCUGCGGAUGGACGUGCUAGGUGCAGCUGAAUGUCACUAAGAUGGCACGGGUCACUGCUCUCUGGCACACAUUGGAAGCGACUCCCUGAGAAUCCAGGAAUUUGGGGUCAAAUCCAAGGCCUGACUCUGUCCUUCAAAACCUGAGCUGGCUGGACCUCUCCAUCCCCUUGUCCAGGCCCUGGGGCGCAGAGGGCACUGGAGGCUCCACCUGGCCUGCCGCAUCCAUCCCCAGUCCUGCCACUUGCCCAGGUCACCCAAGGUUCUGCUGACUGAGCUGCUUACCUCAACUGUAAACACGGGGCGAGUGUGCACCAUCCUGCCAUCGGGGGCGUUUUCGAUCCCCGCAGAGGCCGAGGGGGUGCCCAGGAUGCCCCUCGUGACCUCUGAGGACGUUUCUGGUGCUCCAGGAAGACAGCCUACCUCCCUGUAACCCAGAGAGCUGACACACCCACCUGAAGCAGGGCGCCUGGCCUGCAGGGCAGCCCCAAGCCAGCAGGACCCUCACAGCGACCUGGUCCCAGACCUAGAAUCAGGUUCCCAAAGCGUCCUCACAGAAACUUCGAACCCCACGUGAACAAGCUCUGCACCCCACAACCUGUGCGAUGACUCAGCAGCCUCUGCCUCCCCCUCCUCCCCUCGUGGCAGAAGCAAACAUGGCGGCCAUGUGCCUGCUGAGGAACAGUGGCUCCUUGUAGCACUCUCCAGACCAUGGGGGCCAGGGAGCCAUCCGUGAGAGCCGUGGACAGUGCUUCCAGGGAGGCGCCUUGAAACGGGGUCAGACAACAGGAACCCUCUCUCUGCAGGUCCCUCCGAAAGGAGGACGUGGGUCUGCAGCCAACCACCAACCUCAGAGCUUGCCAGGCACAACACCUCAAAGGGCGAUCUCCUGGUGUCUUGUGCUGUCAACGAACUUUUUAAGCUUACGAAUUAGAGUGCUGUAUGGGCCAGGACACGGGUGUGGCGGGGGGGGGGGCGGGGGGGUGGAGGGGUACAUGGCAUGUGCUGGAAGUAUGAGCAGCCAGGUUGUGCUAUCUGCACUCUCCUCUCGCCUCGGGAUGGAGGGACAGCCCUGCGUCCCCUGGGAACACAUUCCUGCUGCCCUGGGCCACCUACUUCUGCCCCAGAGCCACAGCUCCUCCCUGCUGGGACUCAGGGACUGGCUAGGGGCAGCACCACAGCACUGAGCGCCUCAAGAAACACCCAGGGUCCUGAGAAAGGAGAGCACUAAGGCCAAGUGCCUGCAAUUCAUUCCAUGGACUGGUUUCCAGGCUUCUGGUGCUCGCCAAGUUUGACGUUAUCAAACUCACAUCUGGGACAGAUGAUGCGCUGUGACUCUGGUGGCCGCCAGCGAGAGACAGCACCAGGAGAGCACUUCCCGAGAAGCACAACCUCACCAGGAGACUGAGACAGACAGACGAAUGAGUGCAGGCAGGCCGGUCAAGGCUCUGGUAAAGACCCCGGGGCCCUUGAACGUGUUCCUCAGCAGCCCUGGUGCUCAGCACAGUGCCCAGCCCUGAACUGCCAGUGACCCACAGACAUCUAGGGAUAGACCAACCCCGGCUCUCAGCCUCACUAGAAGGGUCAGGAAUGGAGCUCCUCUGCGGCUAACGGGACCACCGGAGCCAGGCAGUGCUGAGCGGAGCUGAGGCACACAGCAGGUGCGGCGGCCCUGGCAGCCCCAUCUGCCUCCGAUGUCCGAGGGACGUGGUGCUUGUGCCCAGCAGCAAAUCCAAGGAGGGUCUUCACGCAUCAGAGCAAGACGCCCGCCUAGCUAUGGUGCAUCUCAGAUACGUGACCCCAAAUGUCACUGACAAAUGAAGCCCAGAAUACAGUCCGUGAGAGAAGCAAGAAUGCUGGAAAGGCAGAGGUGCCGAGCAAGGUUUAGAACGAGAGCUGGGUAGACCAGGCCUGGCUACCUGGCAGUACCUGGGAGUGCUCACCAGCACGCCAGCACAACAGACCCCUCUCCGCUCCACAGCCCUCCAGUCAGCAUGGACAGGCUGCUCACUGGUACCCAUCCCACGAAGAUGAAACUGAAACAUUUCUUCCUUUUCCUUCCUUCCUCAUAUGAAUAAAAGUGUUUCUGUAAAAUCCU